UCGAGUGACUGCGGAGGUCAUUAUGAAUUUAUUGAAUUGGGUUGUAGCUGGCCCUUUACUGGGGCAUGUGCACGCCUUGUUCAUCUGUUUAUAUACACCUGUGCACCAUUUGUAGGUUGGUCAUUACGAGAAAGCCGUGAGGUUUUCUUGGACCUUCCUAUGUUUUAUUAUAAACCCUUGAAUGUUUUUGAAUGUCUUUGCAUUAACAAUGCAUUUUAAUACAACUUUCAGCAACGGAUCUCUUGGCUCUCGCAUCGAUGAAGAACGCAGCGAAAUGCGAUAAGUAAUGUGAAUUGCAGAAUUCAGUGAAUCAUCGAAUCUUUGAACGCACCUUGCGCUCCUUGGUAUUCCGAGGAGCAUGCCUGUUUGAGUGUCAUGGAAUUAUCAAAUCCCUCUUUUUUGCUUUAUUGUGAAGUGGUUGGAUUUGGAUUUGGAGGUUUUUUGCUGGCUACAAUUAAAUUUGUUGGUCGGCUCCUCUUGAAUGCAUUAGCUUGAAUCUUUUUAACGGGAGAUUGGCUUAUCGGUGUGAUAAACUUGCGCCGGGGUCGGUUUUUGUGAAUAAAAAGAAAAUCGAGCUUCUAAUUGUCCUUGUUCAAGGGACAAAUUUACAUUUGACCUCUGACCUCAAAUCAGGUAGGAUUACCCGCUGAACUUAAGCAUAU
rnacentral:rRNA from 1 species